rnacentral:rRNA from 1 species
GAAAAGUCUAUUUAUGAGCUAAGGAUGGAUGCCUUGGGUAAAGAGACCGAUGAAAGACGUAGUUGGCUGCGAUAAGCCUCGGUAAGGUGCCAACAACCGCUAUAGCCGAGGAUCUCUGAAUGAGGAAACUCACUCCGUAUAACGGAGUAUCCCGAUUUAAUCGGGAAGGGUACUCAGUGAAGUGAAAUAUCUCAGUAACUGAUGGAAAAGAAAUCAACGAUAUUCCCGUAGUAGUGACGAACGAACUGGGAAUAGCCUAAACUAUUGUAAUGCCAAGAUGCUAGUCGUUGUUACAAUAGGGUUGUGGGAAAGACAGUGGAGUACUAGCAUACUCCGAAGAAGUUACAAAACUGAUGCAUAGCAAAAGACGUUGAAAAGCGUUGCCAUAGAAGGUUAUAGCCCUGUAUGUGAAAUGUAUCGGUCUUCUUUGUUUUCUCCCAAGUAGGGUCGGACACGUGAAAUCCGGCUUGAAUCUGGGGCGACCAUGCUCUAAGGCUAAAUAUCUCUUUACACCGAUAGCGCAGAGUACUGUGAAGGAAAGGUGAAAAGCACCCCGGAAGGGGAGUGAAAUAGAUCCUGAAAUCCUUAGCUUACAAGGGAGUAGGAGCUCCGCAGCAAUGCGGGGUGACUGCGUACCUAUUGUCGAAUGGGCCAACGAGUUAUUAGUAGUAGCAAGGUUAAUUGUCUCAGACAAGUAGCCGUAGUGAAAGCGAGCUUGAAUAGAGCGUUUUAGUUGCUACUAAUAGACCCGAAACUGGAUGAGCUACCCAUGGGCAGGCUGAACCUUACGGAAACGUAGGGGAAGGGCCGAACGGAUGAGAGUUGCAAGUCUUUCCGAUGACCUGUGGGUAGGAGUGAAAAGCUUAUCGAAUUCAGUGAUAGCUGGUUCUCCUCGAAAUGUAUAUAGGUACAGCCUCUGGUAGCACCUGUACGGGUAGAGCUCUGAAAAGGCUAGGGGGGUCGAGAGGCCUUACCAAACCUUAUCAAACUUCGAAUAGUAUAGACGCAUGCCAGGGAGUGAGGCGAUGUGAGAUAAGUCUCAUCGCCAAAAGGGUAACAACCCAGACUUCCGACUAAGGUCCCAAAAUCAUAGCUAAGUGGAGAAGGAUGUCCAUCUGCUCAGACAUCUAGGAGGUUUGCUCAGAAGCAGCAAUCCUUUAAAGAGUGCGUUACAGCUCACUAGACGAGUGGAUGGGUGCCGAAGACGUAACGGGGCUCAAGCUAUGUACCGAAGUCGAAGGUUUUUGUAUUUUAUACAAAAACGGUAGAGGAGCGUUCUGUGUCCGCUGAAGCUGCGGCGUGAGCCUGUGGUGGAGGGCACAGAAGUGACAAUGUUGGCAUAAGUAACGCCGCCUGGUGAAAAUCCAGGCCGCCGUAUAUCUAAGGGUUCCUACGCAACGUUCAUCGGCGUAGGGUUAGGCGGGACCUAACACUACAGCGAAAGCUAGUAGUGGAUGGAUAACUGGUUAAUAUUCCAGUCCCUGUUCUACUAAUGAUGGAGUGACGUGCCAUGAAGCGUAGUAUGUCCUUAAGGAUUGGGCAUGGUGCGUGGAAGCACUCUGCAGCAAUGUAGGGUCACUAUAUAGGAAAAUCCGUAUAGCGGGAAGGCACCAAGAAAAACUUCUAUGUUUAUAGUAGUACAGCUCGUACCGAGAACAGACACUUGUGGAUAGAUAGAGUAUAUCAAGGCGAUCGAGACAACUAGGGAUAAGGAACUCGGCAAAACAGCGACCGUAACUUCGGGAUAAGGUCUCCCUCCGAGCAAUCGGGGGGCGCAGCGAAAGAAUGGGGGGGACUGUUUAUCAAAAACAUAGCUCUCUGCUAACUCGUAAGAGGAUGUAUAGAGGGUGAUGCCUGUCCAGUAUCAGAAUGUUAACUCCGUUGGUGCAAGCUCGCGGACGAAGCACUGAUAAACGACGGCCGUAACUAUGACGGUCCUAAGGUAGCGAAAUUCCUUGUCAGGUAAGUUCUGACCCGCAUGAACGGCAUAACCAUCCCCAUACUGUCUUGUCCCUAGACUCGGUGAAAUUACAU